UUUUGUCCAAGCUCAAGUCCGAUCACAUGUGGGUCGUAUAUUUUCAAUAUUAUCAUAAUAUAUGUCUCGCAUCUGACGGUCUUGGGGUGGGUUGUU